rnacentral:rRNA from 1 species
UGGGGAAUUUUGGACAAUGGGGGAAACCCUGAUCCAGCCAUCCCGCGUGUGCGAUGAAGGCCUUCGGGUUGUAAAGCACUUUUGGCAGGAAAGAAACGUCAUGGGUUAAUACCCCGUGAAACUGACGGUACCUGCAGAAUAAGCACCGGCUAACUACGUGCCAGCAGCCGCGGUAAUACGUAGGGUGCAAGCGUUAAUCGGAAUUACUGGGCGUAAAGCGUGCGCAGGCGGUUCGGAAAGAAAGAUGUGAAAUCCCAGAGCCCAACUUUGGAACUGCAUUUUUAACUACCGGGCUAGAGUGUGUCAGAGGGAGGUGGAAUUCCGCGUGUAGCAGUGAAAUGCGUAGAUAUGCGGAGGAACACCGAUGGCGAAGGCAGCCUCCUGGGAUAACACUGACGCUCAUGAACGAAAGCGUGGGGAGCAAACAGG